AUACGAAGGGGGCUAGCGUUGCUCGGAAUGGCUGGGCGUAAAGGGCGCGUAGGCGGCACACAUAGUCAGGCGUGAAAUUCCUGGGCUUAACCUGGGGGCUGCGUUUGAUACAUGUGAGCUAGAGGAUGGAAGAGGCUCGUGGAAUUCCCAGUGUAGAGGUGAAAUUCGUAGAUAUUGGGAAGAACACCGGUGGCGAAGGCGGCGAGCUGGUCCAUUACUGACGCUGAGGCGCGAAAGCGUGGGGAGCAAACAGGAUUAGAUACCCUGGUAGUCCACGCUGUAAACGAUGUGCGCUGGAUGUUGGGUGACUUAGUCACUCAGUGUCGUAGCUAACGCGAUAAGCGCACCGCCUGGGGAGUACGGCCGCAAGGUUGAA
rnacentral:rRNA from 1 species